rnacentral:rRNA from 1 species
ACGAGUGGCGGACGGGUGAGUAACACGUGGGUAACCUGCCCUUAAGUGGGGGAUAACAUUUGGAAACAGAUGCUAAUACCGCAUAGAUCCAAGAACCGCAUGGUUCUUGGCUGAAAGAUGGCGUAAGCUAUCGCUUUUGGAUGGACCCGCGGCGUAUUAGCUAGUUGGUGAGGUAAUGGCUCACCAAGGCGAUGAUACGUAGCCGAACUGAGAGGUUGAUCGGCCACAUUGGGACUGAGACACGGCCCAAACUCCUACGGGAGGCAGCAGUAGGGAAUCUUCCACAAUGGACGCAAGUCUGAUGGAGCAACGCCGCGUGAGUGAAGAAGGCUUUCGGGUCGUAAAACUCUGUUGUUGGAGAAGAAUGGUCGGCAGAGUAACUGUUGUCGGCGUGACGGUAUCCAACCAGAAAGCCACGGCUAACUACGUGCCAGCAGCCGCGGUAAUACGUAGGUGGCAAGCGUUAUCCGGAUUUAUUGGGCGUAAAGCGAGCGCAGGCGGUUUUUUAAGUCUGAUGUGAAAGCCCUCGGCUUAACCGAGGAAGCGCAUCGGAAACUGGGAAACUUGAGUGCAGAAGAGGACAGUGGAACUCCAUGUGUAGCGGUGAAAUGCGUAGAUAUAUGGAAGAACACCAGUGGCGAAGGCGGCUGUCUGGUCUGUAACUGACGCUGAGGCUCGAAAGCAUGGGUAGCGAACAGGAUUAGAUACCCUGGUAGUCCAUGCCGUAAACGAUGAAUGCUAGGUGUUGGAGGGUUUCCGCCCUUCAGUGCCGCAGCUAACGCAUUAAGCAUUCCGCCUGGGGAGUACGACCGCAAGGUUGAAACUCAAAGGAAUUGACGGGGGCCCGCACAAGCGGUGGAGCAUGUGGUUUAAUUCGAAGCAACGCGAAGAACCUUACCAGGUCUUGACAUCUUUUGAUCACCUGAGAGAUCAGGUUUCCCCUUCGGGGGCAAAAUGACAGGUGGUGCAUGGUUGUCGUCAGCUCGUGUCGUGAGAUGUUGGGUUAAGUCCCGCAACGAGCGCAACCCUUAUGACUAGUUGCCAGCAUUUAGUUGGGCACUCUAGUAAGACUGCCGGUGACAAACCGGAGGAAGGUGGGGAUGACGUCAAAUCAUCAUGCCCCUUAUGACCUGGGCUACACACGUGCUACAAUGGAUGGUACAACGAGUUGCGAGACCGCGAGGUCAAGCUAAUCUCUUAAAGCCAUUCUCAGUUCGGACUGUAGGCUGCAACUCGCCUACACGAAGUCGGAAUCGCUAGUAAUCGCGGAUCAGCACGCCGCGGUGAAUACGUUCCCGGGCCUUGUACACACCGCCCGUCACACCUGAGAGUUUGUAACACCCGAAGCCGGUGGCGUAACCCUUUUAGGGAGCGAGCCGUCUAA